rnacentral:rRNA from 1 species
GGCUAAUAUCGUGCGGGCGGCGGCGGUAGAACGGAGGGCGCAAGCGUUGUCCGGAAUUAGUGGGCGUAAAGAGCUCGUAGGCGGCUUGUCACGUCGGGUGUGAAAGCCCGGGGCUUAACCCCGGGUCUGCAUUCGAUACGGGCUGGCUAGAGUGUGGUAGGGGAGAUCGGAAUUCCUGGUGUAGCGGUGAAAUGCGCAGAUAUCAGGAGGAACACCGGUGGCGAAGGCGGAUCUCUGGGCCAUUACUGACGCUGAGGAGCGAAAGCGUGGGGAGCGAACAGGAUUAGAUACCCGUGUAGC